rnacentral:rRNA from 1 species
CAUGCAAGUCGAACGAAGUGGCGAACGGGUGAGUAACGCGUGAGGAACCUGCCUCAAAGAGGGGGACAACAGUUGGAAACGACUGCUAAUACCGCAUACUUUGAGAUGGCCUCGCGUCCGAUUAGCUAGUUGGUGAGGUAACGGCCCACCAAGGCAACGAUCGGUAGCCGGACUGAGAGGUUGAACGGCCACAUUGGGACUGAGACACGGCCCAGACUCCUACGGGAGGCAGCAGUGGGGAAUAUUGCACAAUGGGGGAAACCCUGAUGCAGCGACGCCGCGUGGAGGAAGAAGGUCGUCGGAUUGUAAACUCCUGUUGUUGAGGAAGCGGUACUCAACAAGGAAGUGACGGCUAACUACGUGCCAGCAGCCGCGGUAAAACGUAGGUCACAAGCGUUGUCCGGAAUUACUGGGUGUAAAGGGAGCGCAGGCGGGCGAUCAAGUUGGAAGUGAAAUCCAUGGGCUCAACCCAUGAACUGCUUUCAAAACUGGUCGUCUUGAGUAGUGCAGAGGUAGGCGGAAUUCCCGGUGUAGCGGUGGAAUGCGUAGAUAUCGGGAGGAACACCAGUGGC